CAGAGCAGCCAGCCUAGUAGCUCCCCGCUCUGACGCUUCUCUCCUCCUCCCUCAGGCUCUCUGAGGCUUCCGGGGCGUUCUGGGCUGCAACACCAGGCAAAGGCGGCAUGCUGAGCUCUAGUCCUCGUUCUGCCUCGACUUGCUGCAUCCACUUGGAAUUUGCUGUUGCCCCUCCCUCCCUGCCCUCUGCUCCCAGUCCCCACAUCUGGGCAGCUGAGCAGGACACAGAAGAACAUAGGCACAGCAGUCAGAGUACCUGGUUUUCCAUGUUUCAAGAGCCCACGCUCUGAAUAGUACAGAAAAUUUAGAAGCUCAUGGGAUGAACCAGAAAUAUCCUCCCCACCCUUGAGACCGGGGUAAAAGUGGCACAGACCCGGCACUGACGUGGUGAAUCUCACAGUGACAUGAACAUGGCAUUGAUGUGGAGGCUCUGAAGACACACUGUGGUCAGGAACAAGGAAGGACUCUGCAGUUCCCCGCAAAGUCUAGACAAGAACACAAGUUCAGGAUGCCCCUGCCUGGCCCAGAAACCACACUGCCAGGAAUAGGCCAGGACAUUUUACCAUCCUGUGCCCACUCCACCCAGCCUGGGGUGAGGGAAUGCGGGCAGAUGCUGGAUUGUGGCCACUGACCAGCCACAGAACCCAGCAGGGCCAUAAACAAGGCUGGGUGGGGUUUCCAGGCCCACUCAGUGAGGCUCGUUUAUUUGGACGAGGGCAGAGAGCACCGACCAGAGUGCCUCAAAAUAACUCACAUGGCCGGCCGGGAGCCAAUCCCUCCGUGGAAAAUUUAAAUGAAUUCUUCACAGUUGCAAGGCCCAGGCCCCCAGACAGCCCACCCAGAAUCACCGGACAUCAUGGCUCUGAUGGUUCCAGAAACCCAAGAAUGUUCUGGAAGCCCAAGGAAACCAUAGUCGGUCUCUGGUCUUCUUCACACAGCCAGAGGUCAUGAUACACUCAGAGAAGGAUGAUCCAGUCACCAACUGCUCGGCCCCUCAGGACGCUGGUGUCAGAAAGGCCCAUGCCUGCCAGCCUGGUCCUCAUGGAUACUGGGCUCUGGAGGAAGGGCUGCCCAGGUUUCACUUAGCGCUUCUGGGAGCAUCCUCCCCUCCUUAUCUGGGGACUCCAAGGCUCAGUCAGCUGCUCCUGUGAGGAAACAGACAGGUAGCAGCCAGUGCUGACCACCAGGCCAUCCCACUCCCAUGCCAGUGCCUGAGCCACAGUGACUGGGUCAGGCUGCAGAUGCGUGGUGAGGAGAGCAACUGGGGAGGGAUGAGGGGAGCUGAAGUGGGGAGGGAGGGAGGGAGGGAGGGAGGGAGUCUGAGGGAAGGAGCGAGAAUGGACCCCAAGGAGCAUGAGGCCAGCAGCAAAGGGUUAAGGAAAUGCACUCUCGGCCUGGCGCAGUGGUUCACGCCUGUAAUCCCAGCACUUUGAGAGGCCGAGGCGGGGGGAUCACCUGAGGUCAGGAGUUCGAGACCAGCCUGGCCAACAUGGUGACACCCCAUCUCUAUUAAAAAUACAAAA